AUGGCACCGAAAGCAAGGAAAGAAGAUCUUACCCCUCCAAAGUCCAAGGCCAAGAAGACAGUCCUGAAGGCCUUAAAAGCUAAGAAGACAAUCCUGAAGACCUUGAAAGCUAAGAAGACAGUCCUGAAAGGCAUCCACAGCCACAAAAACAAGAUCAGCAUGGCAAGUCACCCACCUUCUGGUGGCCCAAGACCCUUUGACUCCAGAGGCAGCCCAAAUACCCUUGAAAGAGUGCACCCAGGAGAAUAAAGCUUGACCACUAUACCAUCAUCAAAUUCCCCGGCGACCACUUAGUCAGCCAUGAAGAAGAUAGAGGACAACAGGUUUGUGUUCACUGUGGAUGUCAAGGCAAAAAAGCAGUAGAUCAAACAGGUGGUAAAGUCACUCAAUGGUAUUGGUGUGGCCAAAGUCAAUACCCUGAUAAGGCCUUACAGAGAGAAGGCAUAUGUUCUAUUGGCUCCUGAUUAUGAUACUCUAGAUGUUGCCAUCAAGAUUGGGAUCACCUAA
rnacentral:lncRNA from 1 species